rnacentral:rRNA from 1 species
UACGUAGGUGGCAAGCGUUGUCCGGAAUUAUUGGGCGUAAAGCGCGCGCAGGCGGUCCUUUAAGUCUGAUGUGAAAGCCCACGGCUCAACCGUGGAGGGUCAUUGGAAACUGGGGGACUUGAGUACAGAAGAGGAAAGCGGAAUUCCACGUGUAGCGGUGAAAUGCGUAGAGAUGUGGAGGAACACCAGUGGCGAAGGCGGCUCUCUGGGACGGUACUGACGCUGAGACGCGAAAGCGUGGGGAGCGAACAGG